AACGAACGCUGGCGGCGCGCCUAAUACAUGCAAGUCGAGCGAGAAGGUGUAGCAAUACACUUGUAAAGCGGCGAACGGGUGAGGAAUACAUGGGUAAUCUACCAUCGAGUGGGGAAUAACCAACCGAAAGGUUGGCUAAUACCGCGUACGCCUCCGAGUCUUCGGGUUCGGAGGGAAAGCUGCACUGUGAGUGUAGCGCUCUUUGAUGAGCUCAUGUCCUAUCAGCUUGUUGGUAGGGUAACGGCCUACCAAGGCUUUGACGGGUAGCUGGUCUGAGAGGACGAUCAGCCACACUGGCACUGCGACACGGCCCAAACUCCUACGGGAGGCAGCAGUGGGGAAUCUUGCGCAAUGGACGAAAGUCUGACGCAGCCAUGCCGCGUGAAUGAUGAAGGUCUUAGGAUUGUAAAGUUCUUUAGCCUGUGACGAUGAUGACGGUAACAGGAGAAUAAGCCCCGGCUAACUUCGUGCCAGCAGCCGA
rnacentral:rRNA from 1 species